CUGGUAUUGUGAAUGCUGGUUCAUUGGCUGAACAACCAACAGUUGCUGCUUCUAUCAGCCAUAUGCACUGGCCCAGUCAUCCCCCACUACAGGAAGAGCGGAAAGAAGUCAGCACAGAUCAGUGCAACGUGAUUGGCUAAUACUCUGUCAGCAGACAUCAGAAGAUGAAUGGUAUUGGCCGGUUGUCAGUACCAGGAUGCCCGCGACCCUGUAUGCAGGAUAAGCGGUUGACGAUGGAUGGAUGGAUGGAUGGAUUUUGCAGAUGCUCUUUUGCCCCACAGCCUGCAAUUGAUUGAUUGAGAAAGUAUGGGGUUAGAUAUCCAUUACAUUACAAGUCAGAUUGCUACACAUUUUAUUCCAAAUUCAGAAAGAAUUUCUGGGUCUUUUUCUACCCUGACACCGAUUUUGGUUCUUAAACAAAAUAUAUGCUGAUACCACCCGACCAGUCCGACUUGAUAUUGGGAUAAAAAAGGCAUUAUUCUGUAACAGGAAUUGCCUGUGCACUAAGUAUGUGUCUGCUCAC